rnacentral:rRNA from 1 species
CGUGUAGGCGGUCUCGCAAGUCGGAUGUGAAAGCCCAGGGCUCAACCCUGGAAGUGCACUCGAUACUGCGAGGCUAGAGUCCCGGAGAGGAUGGUGGAACUCUCGGUGUAGAGGUGAAAUUCGUAGAUAUCGAGAAGAACACCGGUGGCGAAGGCGGCCAUCUGGACGGUGACUGACGCUGAGACGCGAAAGCGUGGGAGCAAACA